GACGAACGCUGGCGGUGUGCCUAAUACAUGCAAGUCGAACGCAUUUUCUUUCACCGUGGCUUGCUCUACCGAAACAAAAUGGUUUGCGAAAGGUGAGUAAACCCGUGGGUAACUUGCCAUUCAGCGAGGGAUACCACUUGGAAAAAGGAGCUAAUACCGUAUAAUUCCAUUUACUUCAUGGAAGUUGGAUGAAAGACGAUUUUCCGUCACUGUUGCAUGGUCUUGCGGUGAAUUAGUAGGUGGGGGGGGUAACGGCCUACCAAGGCUGCGAUGCAUAGCAGAACUGGUAGGGUGAGCGGCCACACUGGGACUGAGACACGGCCCAGACGCCUACGGGAGGCAGCAGUAGGGAAUCUUCGGCAAUGGACGCAAGUCUGACCGAGCAACGCCGCGUGAGUGAAGAAGGUUUUCGGAUCGUAAAACUCUGUUGUUAGAAAAGAACAAGGAUGAGAGUGGAAAGUUCAUCCCGUGACGGUAUCUAACCAGAAAGCCACGGCUAACUACGUG
rnacentral:rRNA from 1 species